GACGAACGCUGGCGGCGUGCCUAAUACACGCAAGUUGAGCGCUGAAGGUUGGUACUUGUACCAACUGGAUGAGCAGCGAACGGGUGAGUAACGCGUGGGGAAUCUGCCUUUGAGCGGGGGACAACAUUUGGAAACGAAUGCUAAUACCGCAUAAAAACUUUAAACACAAGUUUUAAGUUUGAAAGAUGCAAUUGCAUCACUAAAAGAUGAUCCCGCGUUGUAUUAGCUAGUUGGUGAGGUAAAGGCUCACCAAGGCGAUGAUACAUAGCCGACCUGAGAGGGUGAUCGGCCACAUUGGGACUGAGACACGGCCCAAACUCCUACGGGAGGCAGCAGUAGGGAAUCUUCGGCAAUGGACGAAAGUCUGACCGAGCAACGCCGCGUGAGUGAAGAAGGUUUUCGGAUCGUAAAACUCUGUUGGUAGAGAAGAACGUUGGUGAGAGUGGAAAGCUCAUCAAGUGACGGUAACUACCCAGAAAGGGACGGCUAACUACGUG
rnacentral:rRNA from 1 species